rnacentral:rRNA from 1 species
GACGUAGGGGGCCAGCGUUGUUCGGAAUUACUGGGUGUAAAGGGUUCGUAGGCGGUGUAGCAAGUCGGGAGUGAAAUCUCUGGGCUUAACCCAGAGGCUGCUUCCGAAACUGCUGUGCUUGAGUGUGGGAGAGGCGCGUGGAAUUGCAGGUGUAGCGGUGAAAUGCGUAGAUAUCUGCAGGAACACCCGUGGCUAAAGCGGCGCGCUGGACCACUACUGACGCUGAGGAACGAAAGCUAGGGGAGCAAACAGG